AUUGAACGCUAGCGGGAUGCUUUACACAUGCAAGUCGAACGAGUGGCGGACGGGUGAGUAAUAUAUCGGAACGUGCCCAGUAGCGGGGGAUAACUACUCGAAAGAGUGGCUAAUACCGCAUACUAAUGGAGCGGCCGAUAUGGGAUUAGCUGGUGGGUGGGGUAACGGCUCACCAAGGCGACGAUCCGUAGCUGGUUUGAGAGGACGACCAGCCACACUGGGACUGAGACACGGCCCAGACUCCUACGGGAGGCAGCAGUGGGGAAUAUUGGACAAUGGGGGAAACCCUGAUCCAGCCAUGCCGCGUGUAUGAGAAGGCCUUCGGGUUGUAAAGUACUUUUGGCAGAGAAGCGGUAUCUGUAGAAUAAGCACCGGCUAACUACGUGCCAGCAGCCGCGGUAAUAC
rnacentral:rRNA from 1 species